rnacentral:lncRNA from 1 species
CGUGCCGCCGCCCUGCCUUCCGUGUCGCCGGUGACCUGCAGUCUCUCGCCGCCGAGCUCCAACACCGCCUCAUGUGCCCCGUCGCGCCGGAUAUGGAUCCCCCCCGGCCGGGAACCACCAGAUCCGGUCAGCCCUCGCCGGUCAGCCCUCAGUCGUCGCCGGAUCCGUGCUGGAGUCGUCAGCCGCCGCCGUCGGCAGUUCCGGUCGAGAGGAGGUCGACAGCGCCCCAGACCUGCGCCCCGUCGCCAGAUCGAUCGGGUUCCCCCCGUUGACCGCGCAGGCCGCUACCAACCCCCGGCUGGGCCUUGCAGGCCGGCCCAGCUCCAGUGCGCCGCCGCCAGCCCCAGGGCCCAGCUCCUCCCUCCUCGUCGGUGGCCCAGCAGCACCCAGCGCUGGUCGCGGCCCAAGCAGCGGAGCGUCAGGCCUCCUCACGCCGAGGCCUCCUCCUCGCUCCACCAGGCCGGCCCGCCAAGGUAAGCCUCCCUUGCCCCCUGUUCCCUAUUCCUCGCCCAGACAUCCGAUUGCUAUUUUGUGCCCACCUGUUCGGCCCAUAGUUGUUAGGUUAAUUUUCGGAAUUAUUAUGAAAUUCCAGAAAUUAGAUGAAUAUUAGAUCGCCCGUAGAUUAUUAACCGUGUAUCGGUUCGCGACGUGUAGCAUAUGGAUUUCAUGUAGUUUUGCGCGUAGAUUACGAAUUUACAACUUGCAUUUUUGUUUGAUGUAGUUUAGCGUGCCGAAUGCCUAGUUUAGCGUGCUGUCCUAAUGUGUUAUGCCCGUAAUUUAUUUUUCGCGCAUGUCCGGUUUGUCCGAAUGCGUUAGUUAAAAUGCCUAUGUUUUAGGGAUCAUUAUUCCAUGCAUUUUAGAGCGGUCAUUGGUAUUUUUACGUGUAGGGAUUGCGGGUAGUUUGUUUUCCCGUGUAUAGGUUAUUAUCCCGCAUAUUCAUGUGGCAUUAUUUUGUGUUGCAAACCCCACAUAUUUUAAUUCCCAUGGAUUUUUCUGUGCAAUUAGUUUCAGCUUUUGAGCAAGUAAGUUCGCGUGAUAUUUGGCCGUGAAGCCCUUUUGUUUAAUUCGUAGGAUUUAUUACGUGCCUCGUUUGAAUUAGUUGUCAACUAGGGAGUUCUUCUUAGAUGUUUUGUUUAGCCCCUGGUAUUUUUAGUUGCAAUAGAAAUGCAUGUUUAGGUGUGUUUUGCUUGCUCUCAAGUUGCUAGAAAUAGUGCUGUUUUAGAGGAGCUGAAAUAUUUCUAAGUCUGGAAUCUGUUAUAUUUUGUUGUUGUCUUGUCUUGCUUGCAUCUUGUGAUCUGUAGCUCGUUUGAGGUUGGUCCAAUGGAGUUAGUUGUACCCCUUGUGUUUCUCUAUCAUGCUGUAAAUUUUCAUGCCAUUUGGAGUCCUGUAGGUAUAGGUUAUGCUGCUGUCAAUAUAGCUUCAGAUCGAAAACUGCACUUNNNNNNNNNNNNNNNNNNNNNNNNNNNNNNNNNNNNNNNNNNNNNNNNNNNNNNNNNNNNNNNNNNNNNNNNNNNNNNNNNNNNNNNNNNNNNNNNNNNNUGAUACAGGAAUUAUAAUAAUAACUAUAUUUAUUAUUGCCUCUAGGGCAUAAUUCCAACAGUCUCCCACUUGCACUAGAGUCAAUAAUCUAGCCCUCACAUCAUCAUGCGAAUUACAUUGUAAUAAAUCUAACACCCAUACAGUUCUGGUGUUGAUCAUGCUUUGGCCGUGGAAGAGGUUUAGUCAGCGGGUCUGCUACAUUCAGAUCCGUGUGCACUUUGCAUAUAUUUACGUCCUCCUCCUCGACGUAGUCGCGGAUGAGGUUGAAGCGUCGUUUGAUGUGUCUGGUCUUCUUGUGAAACCUUGGUUCCUUUGCUAAGGCAAUGGCACCAGUGUUGUCACAGAACAAGGUUAUUGGAUCCAGUGCACUCGGCACCACUCCAAGAUCCAUCAUGAACUGCUUCAUCCAGACACCCUCCUUAGCCGCCUCCGAGGCAGCCAUGUACUCCGCUUCACAUGUAGAAUCUGCUACGACGCUUUGCUUGGAACUGCACCAGCUUACCGCACCCCCAUUAAGAAUAAAUAUGUAUCCGGUUUGCGACUUAGAGUCGUCCGGAUCUGUGUCAAAGCUUGCAUCGACGUAACCUUUUAUGGCGAGCUCUUCGUCACCUCCAUACACGGGAAACAUCUCCUUAGUCCUUUUUAGGUACUUCAGGAUAUUCUUGACCGCUGUCCAGUGAUCCACUCCUGGAUUACUCUGGAACCUACCUGCCAUACUUAUGGCCAGGCUAACAUCCGGUCUAGUGCAUAGCAUUGCAUACAUGAUAGAGCCUACAGCUGAAGCAUAGGGGACGGAGCGCAUAUGCUCUCUAUCUUCAUGAGUUGCUGGGCACUGAGUCUUACUCAAUCUCGUACCUUGUAACACUGGCAAGAACCCUUUCUUGGACUGUUCCAUUUUGAACCUCUUCAAAACUUUAUCAAGGUAUNNNNNNNNNNNNNNNNNNNNNNNNNNNNNNNNNNNNNNNNNNNNNNNNNNNNNNNNNNNNNNNNNNNNNNNNNNNNNNNNNNNNNNNNNNNNNNNNNNNNGGCACACCUUGUCAGCAUUUUUAGGAUCGACAAAACCUUCGGGUUGCAUCAUAUACAACUCUUCCUUAAGGAAACCAUUAAGGAAUGCCGUUUUGACAUCCAUCUGCCAGAUUUCAUAAUCGAAAAAUGCAGCUAUUGCUAACAUGAUUCUGACGGACUUAAGCAUCGCUACGGGUGAGAAUGUCUCAUCGUAGUCAACUCCUUGAACUUGUGAAAAACCCUUUGCCACAAGUCGAGCUUUAUAAACGGUCACAUUGCCGUCAGCGUCCGUCUUCCUCUUAAAGAUCCAUUUGUUCUGAAUAGCCUUGCGGCCCUCAGGCGGUACCUCCAAAGUCCAUACUUUGUUCUCAUACAUGGAUCCUAUCUCGGACUUCAUGGCUUCCAGCCAUUUGUUGGAAUCUGGGCCCACCAUUGCUUCUUCAUAAUUUGCAGGUUCAUUGUUGUCCAACAACAUGAUCGACAAGACGGGAUUACCGUACCACUCUGGAGCAGCACGUGGUCUCGUCGACCUGCGUGGUUCGACAGAAACUUGAACCGGAAUUUCAUGAUCAUCAUCAUUAACUUCCUCCUCAACCGGCGUCGCAACGGCAGAGGUUUCCCCUUGCCCUGCGCCACCAUCCAGAGGGAUGAGAGGUUNNNNNNNNNNNNNNNNNNNNNNNNNNNNNNNNNNNNNNNNNNNNNNNNNNNNNNNNNNNNNNNNNNNNNNNNNNNNNNNNNNNNNNNNNNNNNNNNNNNNUUCGUGCGCGUAGGAAAAUUUUUGUUUCCCAUGCGACGUUCCCCAACAGAGAGCGCCGAAGAAGAUCUGGCGACCAAUGCUCGAACCUCCUCCGGACGACAUGGCGAAAGGAAGUAGUCGCAAACUCGCCGGAAGUCGCUUAGACGCCUGCCCCAAGGUGGGCGCCAACUGUCGUGGGUAUAAGUCUCACAGUAGUUGUGUAGGGUACGAAAGGAUGGGCAGAGCCUUAGCUACGGCGAGGUUGUAUGAGUUCAGGCCCCUCUGCGGUGGAGGUAACAACCCUACGUCUCAAUGCUCUCGGAGCUUGUUGUCGAGUGUAAUAUGGAACACAAUGAUUUGCUAACCCCUUUACCAGCGAGGGAGGGUGGCUUAUAUAGAGUGCGCUGCCCUCCACAACGGUUCUGAUUCAGGGGCGGAGUAGUGGCGAUUGAAUGUGUACGUUACAGGUAACGGACGACCUAAAUGCUAAUAAAUGCACCUGAAAACGUACGAUCGUUUCCCCCCACACGGGUCACGGUGUACCGAGUGGUAUUCAGUCGGUCAGCUAGAUAUGCUCCGAAAGUUACUCUCCGACUGGACGUCAUCGAGGAUCUGCUACCGACUGGAUGAUGGGGAUUCCUUAAUUCAGUCGGAACUGACUAAGGCCCUUGUCCUUUGGGAGGGGUAGUCCUUGGGUAGGACCUAUAGGGCANNNNNNNNNNCCUAGGACUAUAACCCCAUCACUCGGUCACCCGGCGAUCCACAAUUUACUCCUGGAUGCUCUAGACCAUGACGCCUAAUCGUGUGGAGGAUGCAUAGUCCUCAAAGGUAACAAGCAUCGGUUCCACACAGGAACAAUCUCUUGAGUGAUGCUCAAUCACUUUGGAUUUUUUGGGUUUUGGUUUGGGUGUUUGGGGUAUUUCCUCACCUGAUGAUUUUCUCACAAAGUCCUCGAGGAUUGGGUUUCUCUAAAUGACUGGUGUGAUUUUCUCUCGGAGCAGCCAACCAACUAGUGGUUGUAGGGGGUGGCUAUUUAUAGCCGGGGAGCAUCCCAACAUGAUUUGACAUUAAUGCCCCCAAUGAUAUGACCGUUAUGUGGAUAAGAUUGGGGACGGGUGGCGCGCAAGGUGGCAACGGUCGGAUCUUUCAAGUGUGAAAUUCCUCAUGUCUCGCAUGUUCCUCACUGAUAGGCAAUUCGCACUGGCGAAAUCCUAACUCCCUAGUUAGUGCAAUUUGUUCAGCGACCAGAAGAACUUCGUCUCUAUCACUGAAGACUUUGACUAAGCUGUGAGAGAUUUUCAAAGGCUUCAAUCGAAGGAUUAGUAUUUUUAGGCUUUGAGUUGAGCAUCAUGAGGAAACUUUUCCUUAGUAUUACCUCGACCCCCUUUAACAGUACGGUGUACCUAUGACUCAAAAAAGAAGAAAAUGAAACCGAAAGAGUAAAUCUUCAAGCUUCAAAGUCUUCAGAGCAUUUUCUUCGGGAUACACGAAAUUCCUCAUUUUCAAAGUCUUCAUGAGGAAUAGUAAUUUCUUCGCUAUCAAAGUCUUCAAGGAAUGACCAAAGUCUUCAUCCGAUGACAUACAUUUUUAGGGGUCGAUAUUCUUCGAAUAACACAAACUCCUCAAUGACUUAUAGGGCAUGUGUACACUCACAAAAACAUUAGUCUCUCAACCUAUAAGUCUUCAAUCCACCAAAAUCACUAAGUGGCACUAGAUUCACAUACAUUGGGCAACAUGCUUGCCGUCUACCACACACAUCUUGAUCUGGGUAAUCGAUUGUGUUAUUUUAGUUCUUCGCAAACAGUUUAUCAGGCUGAGCUCUAUGCCGUCUAUUGCACACAUAAUCAUCUAGAUAACCAUUUGUGAUCUGCUGGAUCAUCAUAAAUAGUUUAUCCGGGUGAACUCUAUGCCAUACAUCACACACGCUUGUAUUUAGUUAACCGCUUGCGUUACUUUUUCCCACAACAGACAGUUUAUCUUGGCUAUAACUGUAUGCCACAGAUCGCACAUGCAACUAUUUUCUGAAUCGUAUUUGAUGGAUCCGCCAUCGCACAUAGUUUUUGCUAUUAGCGAUGGACCUCCAACUAUAUCUUUUAUGAUUCAUGCGUCGCACACAGUUUGGUCGAAGGGUCUCUAAUUGAUGUGUUGUCUUUGCACCAUCCUACAGUAUUGUAGUGCAAAGUUAAAAAUGUGUGACGGUCCACACUUCGUAGAUCGGUUCUGCCAGAGUAUAUCCCGUGGUAAUCCUUUCUACCAGAAUGACAGACCACUCGAGAACAUUUGUGCAAGGGUGGAUUUGAUAUUUCUUGUUAUGUUUUUUUGUCCUUCUUCUGAGAUUCAAAGUAUCGAAACCACACGUGUGGACUAGAGUGGAUGAAAAGUUGGUGUUCUUCCGGGAUAAUGAUUGACAUCUCUCUGAGAGAAUCAAGCCAAAUAUCUCGUUCUUCAUUCAUAUUUUAUGAUACAUCCCGGUCGGGUCGCUAGUUAGCCUGUUCCGAGAGAUGAUUGAGUAUAAUCAAACUUUUCCUAAAAAACUUAGUUAUUUCUAGUUCAGACCAUGAAAAGUUUAAUCUUUGGAAUCCAUCAUGAUUUUUCUUUGAGCAAAUCCACAGUUCAUCGAGGUUCAACAAAACACUCAGGAUUCAAUCUCCUAUGAACAUCUAGUCGGAUCCAACAGAGUGAGAUGACAGGUUCUCAAAAUCAUGACUCAUUCAGGGGCUAAUGAUGAGGUUAUGUCCUCUAUGGUUGGCUCAUGGUGAUCUUAAACCUAAUAAAGCCCAUGAAGGUAUGUGCCCACAUUAUCCAAAUAUUGGUAGAGCGCCCUGCUUCAGCUUGAUGGAGGGUUUUUUCACUCGGGACAUGCUACCCAAGUCGAGAAAGGAGUAUUCUCACUCGAAUAGCAGGAGUUCAAUGGCCAACAACAUUAACUAGAGAGUUACCACAACCAUUGAGCUGACAUUUCAUCUAGUGAUUAAGACAUAUGUUACUUCUAGGCAUUUGGGUAAGGAGGCAUAGGCUUCUUUCUUGUGUAGUAUAGAGAAGUAGUGAUAGAGAAUAGCCGGUAUGAUGAAAACAAUAUGGGGAAAGAAUAUAAAACCACGUGGGGUAGAAAAUUGGUGGACAAUUGAGAGGCAGCGUACGUGAAAGGGAGGGGCUUGGGGUGUCGGAGGAAGCAAAUGAUGUAUGAUAGGACCUUAGGUUCUUUUUCAAUAUAGAGACACAUACUUGAAGUACACAUAAGUACAAAAGAUUUAGCGAUAGAUAAGUAGAUAUAGAUAUUAGCCGGUCCAUUGAAAGUUGUGUGUGGAAAGAAUAGAAACCCAAUGGGGUCAAAAAUCGGUGGAGGGCGGGUAGAGAGCGUACGUGGGGCUGACUGGGGAAACAUACGACCUAUGACGAAACCUUAGGUUCUUUCUGAACGUGGAUAUAUAUAUUAGAGAAGUAUAGAAAAGUAUAGAAGUAGAUAAGAGAUUGAGAUAGACAAGAUAGAGAUAGAGAAAUAGAUAUAGAGAUUAGCGAGUCUAGUGGAACUAUCUAGGGGAAGAAUAGAAAAAUAAGUGGUGGAGGAUGUGAGGGAAAACAUACAAUAUAUGAAAAAACCUCAGUUUCUUUUCAAAUAUAAUGAAAAUAAGAGAUAUAAAGUAGAGAAUUAGAGAAGAUAUGUAGAUAAAGAAGAUAGAUAUAGAGAAACAUAAGUCGAGACACAGAUUAGUCGGCCAGAACAAAAUCGUGUGGGAAAGAAUAGAAAAUUGGAAGGAAUGUGGGGGUGUCGGAGGAAAUAAAUGAUGUAUGAAAGAACCUUAGGUUAUUUUUAAAUAUAUAGAGAGAUAUAAAUUAGAUAAGUAGAGAUAGAUCGAGAAGAAAUAGAGAUAUAGACACAGAAGUAGAGAUAUAGAUUAGUCGGUCCAAUCAAACCAUUUGGAAAAGAAUAGAAAACCAGGCGAGGGUGGAAAAUCGGUGAAGGAUGAAGAGAGGGUGUACAUGGAGGAAUGGAUGUGGGGUGUCAAAUGAAAACCACAUAUGAUGCAAUCUUUGGCUCAUUUUAAAUAUAGCAAUAGAUAUAGAGAUAUGAAGUAUAGAAGAUAUGGAGAUAGAUAUAUAGAAGUAGAUGUAGAGAUUAGUCGGGGCGAUGAACACCAUUGGGGGGGGGGGGAGAAAAUCGGGNNNNNNNNNNNNNNNNNNNNNNNNNNNNNNNNNNNNNNNNNNNNNNNNNNNNNNNNNNNNNNNNNNNNNNNNNNNNNNNNNNNNNNNNNNNNNNNNNNNNNNNNNNNNNNNNNNNNNNNNNNACCGGCGGAGUGCGGGGAGACAACAUACAAGGAGGGAAGGAGACAAGUGUGUCGGACGAAACAAAUGACGUAUGCCGGAAUAUUAGGUUUUUUCUUCUAUAGAUAAUAAAGAAUAAAACUGGAUGGUUUAGUUCAAAAGAAUCCUAUGGUAACACAUGUUUUUUUUCCUGAUAAAUGGCAGUUUUAAUGGAUCGAUAUAUCAAGGUGAUACAACUCCACCAAGCGAAUACUCAGCCUCUUCAUAACACGGUACACACAUGCAACAUGUCCAUCACAACCAAAAACAAAUAACUUUUUUACAACAAAAUAAAAUGGGCAACCUAAGAUGUGGUAGAUUGUAUAGAAAGAUUACAAUGUCAUUCAUGAUGGGAGGAAACCUCUCUAGCCGCAUAUGAAGAUUACAUCGCAGCAAUAAAAAAGUCUCCGUCCUCCGACAUCUACAUGAAUAACCUGCACGAUAGAUGUAAUGUUUUUUUGUAUGUGCUAAAAACACAUCAUUUUCUUUUGUCAUAGGAGCUCAAUAUUCAAGAUGUUUUUAUUUGUAUAGAAUUGCAAAAUAUUUCAGAAUGUAAAAAAUGCCCUUUUAUGAUAUAUCCUCCUCGGUACCGGUAGUUUGCCGUAAUAACUAAAACCGCAACAAGUGUUUUGAAACGAAGGGAGCAAACAUGUAUCUUUCUUGAGUAAGUAGUGCAAUGGUAGAAACAGGAAACCGAUUCAAUCAGAAUUAUAUUCCAGCGAGUGAGGGAUGACUAGGUCGACGCUGAUCUUGAAAGGAAAAAAGAAAAAGGAAACGAUGCCCACAAAGGAAUACUACAACAUUAUAUUAAAUCCACACAUAUUAACUAUACUACAUCUCCCCACUAGGACGACAGGGACGUGAUCAUCAUACGGAUGAAACCAACACCUAAGCAGCCAUGAUAUGAUGAUGAUGAUCAGCCCGGCCAGGUCACACAUGUAUCAGGCAGCCGGCCGUGCGGGAUGAAACACACAUCAUGUAUCCAGGAGGCCACGCACGCGCCAGAUCGCUGACAGGACAUGCUGUUCCCCUGCGUCCACAUAAGCCCGGGAAAAUAUGGAUAGGGUGCACUUUUCCAUGUGGCCCUUCCCCGUCCGAUCCGACGAGGCAAAGCAGGUUCCCAUCCAUCCAUACAUGGGAUAGGACAAGGCGGCGGGGCCGGUACCGGUGGCCUUGCAAAUCCGUGUCCACAUAGGCCGGAUUAAGCAAAAGCGCAAGAUAACCAACUCCAUCAACACCAAAUUGUUGGGGGGGCACCGAUCAAUUAAGGUGCACUCGCACUACAUACAUAGUAUGUAUGUUUGUUGCUUAGCUGGCUGUAUCUGUAUGCAUGUGUGUUGUGGGUGUUCUCUUCUUCUUCUUUAAAGUUCCUUUGUGGGCUAUGUGUGAUUUCGACCACGAUAUAAUGGUCCCUUUCGAAAAUCGGUGGACACCGAUUUCUCGCAGAGCGAAAGGUUUUAAGUCAAAUGUGCACAUGCGCGCAUUCGAUCAAAGAUGGAUCCGGUAUUCUCAACCAUAUCGGAUAAGUACAAUUUUUGGUUUGUAUGAGAUAAAUAGGUUUGGACUUUCAGGUUUUGGUAAGCAUGAGAGUCUGUAAUCCUGGUGGUAAGCUGCUGAUCCUCCCUUUUUCUGAAAGAAAAAAAAAAGGUUACUAACCCUUUGAAUAAAUCAGGACAAACUAAGCCUCUCAAGUGGAAAUUCGGAACCAAUGAUGUGCCAGAAACUAUCUUGGCUACAUGCACGGUACGAAUUGGCAGCAUCAUCAUAACUACAACUUGAUCAAUAUACAACUCACUACAAAACACAUGUCUCAAGAAGACCAUUUUAGCAUAUAGGACCAAUUCAGUACAUGUGCCAAAAGAGGGCAGCCCGGCAUGCAUCUGUCAAAAAGUUGGGCUGCUAAGCCACCAAUAGGAAAUUUCUCAUCAACCAGCCGUAUAUGCAUGUGUGUUAAACCCAAACCAAUAUGCCCAAGCAGACCACCUGCAUGCUAGCUAAUCCUAGACACGACCGGCUCUUAAAUACAAUUGGUCCGGUCGAAUAAUUCGUUCACCGAAAUGAGUCAUGACUCAUCGUACAGUUUUUAUAUUCGUAUUAACUGUAAUCUACACAUUUGGUGCACCUAAUAUUAUUUCGUCAUUAGCACUUAUACUACAAGCUAGAGAGCAGUUGCAUGACCGGCCGGACUCUGCUGAUAGCAACAACAUACUGUGUGUAAAAGAACUAUCAACGGCCGGAUCUGGAUAUCCCACCUGAUCAAUAGGAUUGGGAGGGAGAGACGUACGUACUUAGUUUGUUGUCGGGGUUAUUACAACACGUAUGGUGCCACGAGGGAAAACCAUGCAUGCGUUGCACCAAAAGCUCACAUGUAUGGUGCGCUUAGACAAGCCGUGGUGUUGUGUUCCUAUGGCAAUUCCUAAUAAAGGUCUUCUUUUCUCUUUUCAAUUGCAAGGCCGAUGAACUCAAUACCUUCUCUUGUGAGACAACAAGUCCAAAAGUUAAGUGGAUCUGGUCUUGUUUGACAAAGUAUAAAGACAUGCUUAACUAAAGUGGUUUGAGUAAUUCUAUGAUUCUUUUGACAAAAAUCUUAAUUAAUUAGGUACACCAAAAACACAAAUGUUCUUAUGAUAAACAAAAUUGUUGGUUUCUUGCAAUAUAAUAACAAAACAAUGGCAUGUAAAAAUACGAGCAUGUACUAUAUAUAUACCGGUAUGAGACGGUAAAAGGUAGAGAGACCAAAGGCUUUUGAUGUACUCCAAAUCUCUUUAAAUUGACCCCGAAUAUCCAUUACUAAAAUAUAAUUUCAUUUGUAUACAUGUCACUUCACGAUAAGAAACAACAAAGCCGACAAAACCGUUGCGCCCGGUUCUUUCCUACGUAAGUCAUGUCAACUUCAAAGAUAAAAAGAAAAUCAUCGCCAACAAGUCUCCGUUGUGUCAAUUCUUCUUACGUAAGUUAUGUCGGAUUCCACCGAACACGGUCCUUGCGUGAAAAAACCGCCGCCGAAUGUCGUUGAGUAAGACGUGAACAUAUCCGACGCCGCGCGACCCAUCAUUGACCUGGAAACUUCACUUUCAUGGUACAUCAUGGGUGGAGUCCAAAAUUCAAACUAUUUUUUCAAAAGUUGUUUGGUACCACUAUGAAUGAAUGAAUUAUCCCCUUCCCCUACCUGCAACAACAACCUGGUGUACCGGAUAACCUCUGCCCACCACCAGACACACACUGUGAGAAGGCGGUGACGCAUGCAAACCGGCCUAGGUAGUCAAUCGCAACAGGCUAAAUAAAUGUCGCUGGAGGCGUUGGGCCUGCGCUCCCGAGUGGAUUGGACCGAACUAUGUCUCCUCGGAUCCUAUAUAAGGGGCCUGCACCCCGUUGUGGCCUCACCAGAAAAGAAACAACAAGAGCUUUACAGAGAGCCUUGGCAUCACCCACCCACACCCUCACCCUCCAACGCAGGUAGAGAGAGAAAGAGAAUGGCAGGCCAAGGCGUUGCCUCCAUGUUGGCUCUGGCAUUGCUCCUCGGAGCCUUCGCCUCCAUCCCACAAAGUGAUUCCCCUUCCUUCCCUCCCUCUCUCUCUCUUGAAGUGAUUGGGUGCAGUUUUUUUUUUCAUGCAGGGAGUUUCUUUGAAGAUAGUAAUACGUACGUUGAUCUUAGCUUUCAUUAAGAGAAGCAUUAGGGAGCUAGCUAGGUAGCCGGCGGCCAUGGUGUACCCAUGCUCACAUAAACCUCUCUCCCACAGACGUCACAUAGCAUACCUUCCUCUGUUUAGGUGCAUGUCGCUUUCGUUCUGCGUUUUAUUCUUCCCGCGCCAUCAGUCGCAUGGUAAAGCAUGAACGGCCGGCGCCCGCCGGUCUCAUUAUCUACCUCGAUGCGUCCAUCAAUGCAUGGGAGCACAGUAACUUUUCAAAAAAAAAAUCGAAAACUAAACACGGUAAAUUUUGUAAAAAAAAUCGUUUUCACUCGCUAAAAGAAUCAGGAGUCUUGGGUUUUGCUGCGGAGUAUACGUAUCAAAAUAUAUGCACCGCACGCUCCAAGAUAAAAGUGCACGUCAGCACGUGUGAUCGGCCUUCAUUGUGUUUCUUCUAUGGAAGAAAACGUUGCAAGAAGUAGGUAUUCCGCAGGAAAAUUAAUAUCUUAAGAACAACAAAAAUGAUACUUUCUAGAUAAAACAUUGAAAGAGGAAGUAAGCAGUGAAAACGAUGCUUGUAGAUAGUUUCAACUGUUUUAACCAUAAAUUAAUCUAGUUGAUCGUACGCAAAAGCUUGCAAAUGAAGUCUCGAAAUGUUUGGUGACCAUGCAUGUCAGUUAGCUAGCUGCAUCUUUUUACAAAGUCAGAAGGUUUAACUAACGACCUACAAGUAGCUAGCUAGGCCAGUGUCUCUUUCUCCAGUGUCAUGCAUGCUAAUCACCUAGAAAGUUUUUCUUCUUCUUCCUCCUCUUCCCUGCAUGCAAAGCUGUGCAUGCAUGUCUCGACAGUGUCGCCCUAGCACUGUAGACACGAGCCCUACCACUUAAUUGGUGGUUUGUUCCCUGAUUAAUUCGGUGCAACUACUGCUGAACCACCCGUCGCUAACCAUCUUUUUCUUCUUCCUUUGGUCCGCAUCUUGACGUUUUUUCAGCGAUGGACGAUGCCGUACCGGCCAGUCCAGUGGUCCUACUCGUUUCAGCUAGCCACUGUUCCAUUCUUUUAAGCUUAACGAAGACGAUUACACCAGCUGCUAGCUAACCAGUAACUAUAACUCAAUUGCAGCCUUUGUGUAGUCAUCAUAUCGACUUUGAAAGUGCAACCGGUGGAUCCAUGGUACAUGACGCCAUCGAUCACUAGGCACUAACUAACCAUGCAUAACCCAGGUGUUGGUUCUGCUGGCCUUUCCAAGUUUGGUCUGCCUGAAAAGAAUUGUGAUAUAAUAGGAUUGUAGGUUAGUGUAGUGGUACUAGCCAGUAGUUGGCACUUGAUCGGCCGGGCAGCAAGUUAAGAAGAGGAUUAAGUUGCGUGUACUUAUAUGGAGUACUUUGUCAUGCACGUGAGCUAGACCGUUUAUUGGAGCUUAGCUGGGAGCAGCCGGAGGGCAUGCAUGCACGCCAUGGCGAUCCACAUCGAUCGUAUGUGGACUAUCCAACGGCCGUGCUGCGGACGUUGGACCAGAAACUUUGGUUUGUCCUAGCAUGUAUGUAUGCAUGAGGUCUCUACACCCCCCUGUAUUUCUAGGCUUCCUGCCAAUUGCCAUCUACGUGUGGUCGACCUCCAUUCUGCCCCUACGAUAUUCCUGGCCCGUUUUGUUUAAUAAAUCCAGCUAGCUAGUGCCGUGCAAGUACUACACAAUUUAUGCCAUACCAUUGAUUGGCGAUGGCACUCUUAAGUGUACACGUACUGUAAAAAUACAUGUAUUCUUUCUAGCAUAAUUGAUGUACCAACUAUCAAGUGUAACACUUUAAUAGAGUAGAUUGGUGUAGAGUUAGUUGGUAAACCAAGCAAAUCAGGGAGGGUAAAAGAUUCACUGCACUGGAAGCUAGUCAAAGUUCAUUCCUUCCUUUAAGGUUAUCUAGUUCCUUUUUCUCCUUGCUCGUGGUAGAGUAGCUAGUAGCUAGUGACAAGUCGGUCAAGGCGCCGGCCGUGAAAAUAGCAAUGUUCCUCGGCCGUGUGCGUGCAUCUGACACCAACUCGUGACUGUAACAAAAACAAUAUAUAAGUGCUGCAUCAGCCACCAAAGUCUAGAGAGAAAGAGAUAAAAAAAAUGCGCAAAGCUAGAGGCUUACACGCAUGCAUCCAUGCAUGCGUACAAGAUUUCAGUUAAACGUCCUUUUCGGGGAGUUAGUAUUAUCCCUCGCCAACAGGUCAAAAGGCUCUGUGUGCAUGUGUGUUCAUGCAUCGCCGCCAUUCUUGCUUAUUGGUUUCUUUUUUAUAUUCCAUCACAUGCCAUCAUGGGAGAAUUUUUUAAUUUUCUACUAUGGCAAUGGAACAGUGCUACUACUCUACCUGGUGUAAAUAAUUGAUUUUGUGAAGGUUAACUAACCGAGGUUAUAUUACAUUGCAGGCGUGGAGUCCAUCGGGGUGUGCUACGGCAUGAGCGCCAACAAUCUGCCGGCGGCGAGCACCGUGGUCAACAUGUUCAAGUCCAACGGGAUCAACUCCAUGCGGCUGUACGCUCCCGACCAGGCGGCGCUGCAGGCGGUCGGCGGCACGGGCGUGAACGUUGUUGUGGGCGCGCCCAACGACGUGCUCUCCAACCUCGCCGCCAGUCCCGCAGCGGCUGCAUCGUGGGUGAGGAGCAACAUCCAGGCGUACCCCAAGGUCUCCUUCCGGUACGUCUGCGUGGGCAACGAGGUCGCCGGCGGCGCCACCCAGAACCUUGUCCCCGCCAUGAAGAACGUGCAGGGCGCGCUGGCCUCCGCCGGGCUGGGCCACAUCAAGGUGACCACGUCGGUGUCGCAGGCCAUCCUGGGCGUGUACAGCCCGCCGUCCGCCGGGUCCUUCACCGGAGAGGCGGACGCGUUCAUGGGCCCCGUGGUGCAGUUCCUUGCCCGCACCGGCGCGCCGCUCAUGGCCAACAUCUACCCGUACCUGGCCUGGGCCUACAACCCGAGCGCCAUGGACAUGAGCUACGCGCUCUUCACCGCGUCCGGCACCGUGGUCCAGGACGGCUCCUACGGGUACCAGAACCUGUUCGACACCACCGUGGACGCCUUCUACACGGCCAUGGCCAAGCACGGCGGCUCCAACGUGAAGCUGGUGGUGUCCGAGAGCGGGUGGCCGUCAGCCGGCGGCACGGCGGCGACCCCGGCCAACGCCAGGAUCUACAACCAGUACCUCAUCAACCACGUCGGGCGCGGCACCCCCCGCCACCCGGGCGCCAUCGAGACCUACGUCUUCUCCAUGUUCAACGAGAACCAGAAGGACAACGGCGUGGAGCAGAACUGGGGGCUCUUCUACCCCAACAUGCAGCACGUCUACCCCAUCAGCUUCUGAUGAGGUAGCAGCUACCUAGUGCCCGUAUGUCCGUACGUACGCGCGCGCGUAUAAGAGCGUGUACGCCGUACGUAUGCGCACAUUAUGUAUUGUACAGG